rnacentral:rRNA from 1 species
AGGUGACAGGUGGUGCAUGGUUGUCGUCAGCUCGUGUCGUGAGAUGUUGGGUUAAGUCCCGCAACGAGCGCAACCCUUAUUACUAGUUGCCAGCAUUUAGUUGGGCACUCUAGUGAGACUGCCGGUGACAAACCGGAGGAAGGUGGGGAUGACGUCAAAUCAUCAUGCCCCUUAUGACCUGGGCUACACACGUGCUACAAUGGCGUAUACAACGAGUUGCCAACCCGCGAGGGUGAGCUAAUCUCUUAAAGUCACGUCUCAGUUCGGAUUCGUAGAGC